GUAGAGCAUACAAAAAAAAUUGUACACACAUGGUCUUCUUUUUUUCACUUUUUCAGCUUUCAGGAGAAAUGAAUAUAUGUGACAUACUUGAUGGUCAUCAUCCUCCAAGAUGGCCCCAGGGAUCUCUGCUCCCCUGGCAUUCCUACACCGUGUAGUCCCUCCCACAUUGUAUGAAGAUCACUCAUUCCGUGGAAAGCCAGCUGCUAUGUCUUGAGGUCAUUCAUGCCACCUAUGAGGAGACACAUGCGGUGAAGAAGACAGACCUCUGGACAACAACCAGUGAAGAACUGAGGCCUGCCAACAACCACAUGAGUGAGCUUUGAAAUGGAUUUUCUACCCCCAGUCAAGGCUUGAUGUGACUGCAGCUGUUAGGACAGCUUGACUGCAGCCUAGGAGACCAUGAGUUAGAACCACCCAGCUACAGCACUUCCCAUUUCCUGUGCCUUAGAAACUGUGAGAGACAAUAAACUGUGAGAGAGUUGUUUCAAA